rnacentral:rRNA from 1 species
CUAUAAUGCAAGUCGAGCGGACAGAAAGGGACUUGGUCCCUUAUGUUUUCGCCGCCACAGGGGUGUAUCACAUGUGUAACCUGUAUGUUAUACUGGGAUAUCUCCCCGAAAACCCAGCUCUUACCCGAUAUAUUCUGGUACCCCUCGGGUUGGAGCUGUGAAACAGUUUCUGCGGUGACUUACUAAUGUGCCCCCGCCGCAUUAUAUAUAUGUUGAGGUAACACCUCACCCCAGCGACAAUAUGCAUACCACAUCAGAGGGGGAUCUCCCACACUGUGACUCAGACACAGCCCCCACACUUACAGGAGGCGCCACUAUGGAAUCUUCUCCACUGUGCGAAAAUCUGAGAGAGCACCACCCCGCGAGUGAGAAAAGUUUUUUGAUAUCAAAAAUCUGUUGUGUGGGGAAAAAACAUGUACAAGUAACUCUGUGUGCCUUUUCAGUACCCCUUAUUAAAACCCCACCUAACUACAUGUCCCCACCCCCGCUAAUAUACAUGUGGGGAGCGUUUUCCCGAAUUUUUGUGCGUAUAAAGCGCGCACGCGGUGUCUUUUAUCUGAGAUGAAAAACCCCGGCUCAACC